CUGCAGGGUCCUGUACCCUUGGACAGCCCCAGAUACUCUGAUCGGGGAGAAAAGUGGGUGAUGGGCUCUGUUACACAUAGGCCCUGGGGGUGAUGGGAGAAUUAACCAACUCAUAAUCUAACUCCAGGUAGAGCCCUACUUCUUUCUAUCUGACUUGUUCUUUUGAAAAAUUUCAAACCUAUAGAAUAAAUGCUAUCUACUCUUCUCCCCAAUUCACGGAUGGUCAACAUGUUGCUACAUGGCUUUCUACCUGUCCAUAUACAUUUUGAAAGUGAAGCGAAGGACACAAAAACCCUCACCGUGCAUCCCCUGCAGACUGACCAGAAACUCUCUGUGAUCCGUGGUCUCUCUCCUAUCAGGAAGGAACUCAGCGAGGACUGGGUGGUUUGGAAGCCUGGAAGACAGCCCUUGCUGGAACCCAGCCCGGCUGGCAGCUGGCCUCAUCUCAGACGUCCCGCCUCAGACCCGGAGAACUAGGUGUCUGCUGCUGAAGUCCCAGCCCUGCUAUUCCAUCAUGGCAGCCUCAGCUAAGACAGCAAUGAUCUAAUAUUCAUCCACGUUCCAAUUUCCCCAGUUAUUCCAAAUUAUAUCUUUUAGAUAGAAUUAACCUGUUUGUUUAAAUCAGUACUUAAUGAGGACCACGCAUUACAUGUCAUUGUCAUCUCUCUUUAGUCUCCUUCAGUUUAGUUUCAUCUCCUUCCCUGUCAUUUUUGGUCUCUCACAAUGUUCACAGGCAGUGCCCUCCUCUUCUAAAGACAAAAGAGAACGAGCUAAAGGCUUCUCCUGCCCCCAUAUCCCUCUCCACACAGGAAAGAGGGGACCCAGUGCCUGCUGGGAGAGCUUCUGCAGGAGAGGGUGUAGCUUGGGGCUGCCUAGGGCUCUGGAGAAAGCAACUGAAAAGAAGAUGGUCAAGGUCAACUUUAGAUAAAGGCAUGCAGCCAGACAUCUUCUCCUUCCUCUCAAAUGCACUCAGAGCACCAUUAUAGCCGCGCCUCUCCUGUUCCCAGCAGCCCAGACACAAACAAACAAUGCGAAGAGAUGAAGGAGCCCUGAAGACCUGGCCUCUGCAGCCUCCCAGCAGCUGGGAAGCAUUUAAUUGCCCGCAGGGCUUGUUAUGCAAAUGAGUCAUUGGCUGCUCUAGUCUCGCACAGAUGUCUGAUGAGGCGGGCUCCUUGGCUCAGUCCUUUCUGAAACAGACAGAGUUUAUCUGUACCCUCAUUUUACAGAUGAGGAAACUGAGUCUCAAAGAGGGUAAGUAUCCACCCAAGGUCACCAACUGGCAGAUGUUAGGUCCGAGCUGAUUUAGGCCUCAGAGGGAAGGGGUGGCCUUGGCCUAGGAGAGGGUACUGGCCUCCAGGGAGCAGACCCCUGGGUCAGGCAGUUGUGGGAGGCAUGGACACACUCUGGUGGGCACAAGGAAGCUUGAAUGCAACACUGCACCCAGCUGGCACCAGAAUACAUUCCUCCUUUAGUCUACAGUUGGCAUUCAUCAAGUGCCAGCUGUGUACCAGGCUCCAUGAUGGGUGGGUGACCCAGAGAUCAGUCAGAUCCAAGCCCUGCACAGGCCAUCUGCAGAGAAUGCUCCGGGAAUGUUGGGUGAUCACUGAAUCAAUAAAUACAUCAAUGAAUUAAUGAAUCAAUUAGCAAAUGAUAUGGGCUUUGACGUAUGGAUGGGGCUUUGCACAGUUCAUGUG
rnacentral:lncRNA from 1 species